rnacentral:ncRNA from 1 species
UUGAAUGGGUGGCUCAUGUGGUUUAAUUUAGACUGUCAAACUGCGAAUGGCUCAUUAAAUCAGUUAUAGUUUGUUUGAUGGUAUCUGCUACCCGGAUAACCGUAGUAAUUCUAGAGCUAACCAACCCCAACUUCUGGAAGGGAUGCAUUUAUUAGAUAAAAGGUCGACGCCGGCUCUGGCCGUUGCUUCGAUGAUUCAUGAUAACUCGACGGAUCGUACGACCAUCGUUCAUGCGACGUAUCAUUCAAAUUUCUACUCUAUCAACAUUCGAUGGUAGGAUAGUGGCCUACCAUGGUGGUGACAGGUGACGGAGAAUUAGGGUUCGAUUCCAGAAAGGGAGCCUGAGAAACCGCUACCACUUCCAAGGAAAGCGGCAAGCGCAAAUUACUCAAUCCUAACACGAGGAGGUAGUGACAA